GAGAGUGCCCGGCCGGCUGGCCUGCGGGAGGGCCGCCUGCUGAGUGUUUUCGGACGGAAGGCUCCCCUCCCCCCUCGCAGGUGCCCCGUCCUGCGAAGUUCGGCGGACGGAGGCGGGUGUGCGCCCCGCCGGCGGCUGGGAGGCUCUAGCCUCGGGAGAGGGAGGAGCCGCCGCCCAGGUGGGGCAGGUGGGAAGCCUGUACUCAGGUGUGUCCGUAGCCCGGGGAAGUGAUUGCUCCCUGGACGGCGCAGGCGGAGCAGAGCGGACUCCUGGCCCCAGGAUCCAGCUCUGGGAAGCGGGGUUUGUUUCCCAGACUCUGCCUCGGAGGAAAGCCAUGGAAGAGGAAGCAAUAAGAAGCUUCAAGGAACUUCGAGCCAAAUUUCAAAAGCUUGAUGCACCAUCUCUUCCAGGGCCUAUUAAAUUUGCAGCAGGUUUUUCUCAGAAGAGGGACAUUGGAACCAUACAGUCAACAAGGAUUUUGGCCAAUGGGAAGCCCCUUUCAUCCAACCACAAUCAGCCCCCACAAAACUGCUCCAGUGAUGAACUCCAGCCUCAUAAGCCCCCAAAAAUGAAGUUGUCCCAAAGGAGCAGGAUUCAGAAAUUUUUCAAUUCUCCAGGACCUCCAGAAAGGUCUACUGGGUUUGCGGUAAAUUCACAGACAGGUUCUCUGCUAUUAGACACGAAUCAGCCCAAUGCUGAGAAGAAAGUAAUGGCAGCUAAUAGUUUCAGAGACAAGCUCUGGAACUGGGAGCAGGUUUCAUCUCAGAAAAGUGAGCUGUCAUCAGCCUUCCUCCCUGCCAGUUGUGGAAGUAGGGCCUUCCACCUGGAAGAGCAGAAGAGCACAGGGCUCACUCUAAAGGAGCCCAGGAAAAGGCUGGACAAAAAAGGAGGCCAGACCCUUCCUCCCCAGAGGCACCUGAUGGCCCAAAGAAAGUCACCUGAUCUCUCUAAAGACCCUACCUUCCUACUUUCUCAAAAAGGCAGGAAGGCUCUAGAAAACCCCAGUCCUAAGAAGAGCCCAGCGGGGAGCCCCUGUCAGCCUAUCUAUGAGAGAGAGCUCACCAGCCAGGCCCCAGAAAAACAACUGGAAGACAGGCAUCACCAGCUGCUCAAAACAAAGCCACUGCCUUCUGUUGGGUCUCUGGGUCCUCCUCCCACAAAGCCUCCCAGGCCCCCAGGGGUGAAGCUCCAGGCCUUCCAGAGGCGGGCAGCUGCUCCUCCCGAGACCCAUGGGGAAGCAGCUGUGGAAGACGGCUACCUGCCUGCAGAGGGCAUUGAAUUUGAAGAACCACAUAAUUAUGAGGCUACAAUUUCAUAUCCGAGGCACUCUGGCACCUCCAUUAACCUGUGCGCCGUGAAGGAAAUUGCUGAUUCAACUUAUGAAGUUGAAAUUGAAGAACUCCAAAAGCCUUGGAAGACUUUUCUCCAUCAAGAACUUAGCCCCAAACAUGAAGAUAAGAAAGUGGAGGAAAAAGAGCCAUGUGAAUUGGAACCUCAAAAAACAGAAAAGGAUCUACGUUCAAACCAUCUUGUUGAGGUGGAUGGCAGUGACAGGACACCUGGAAGAAUCCAGAUGAUUGAAGUCCACAGAGGCAGGAGGAGCAUGCUGGCCAGAAAGCAAGAAGCUGCAACUGACGUCAUCCAGACAAAGGCCUGCACCCCCAACCUGGAGCUGGCCAGGCACUCCCAAGGCCUCUGUGAGUAUGUGAAGGCCUUGGAGGUCACUAAGGAAACCCCAGGCCAAGAGGUCUGUAAACCAGGUUCCACCUCAGAGGAGACAUACGAUGAUGUUGAAUACCCCAGGAGACAGGGACCAAAGUCAGACUUCUCUAACUCAUUUGCCUCAGAAAAUGAAGAAAAUAGUGAAGAAAUGUAUGAAGAUGUCUACAAAACAAAGAGCAACUACUCAACAAUAGAUUUAGAUGGAAAACAAACACUUAAAAGACUACAGAAGUUCUUCAAGAAAGAAAAGGAUAGAUUUAAAAUGAGGAAAACCAAGUCGAAAGAAAAUGUAAGAACUUUGGAGUCAGUGACUCCUUACAACUUCUGCAACAAAUAUCCAGUCUCUUUCCAUACUAAGUAAAUGCUCUUAUGGCUCCCCUCUAUUAGUCCAUUCCAUGUAACUCAGAUUUCCCCUCCUUACCACCCUGUACACAUACCCCACAGAUCUGACUCUGCCAUGGUGUUUCCUGCCUUCUUGCUUUAACCAUGACAUUCUCUUGGUUUGGAAUGCACCUGCCCUCCUCCAGCCUCCCUUGAUUUUCAAAGUUCUAGUCCACUUUUAAAAUCUGGCCAAAUAUUAUCCUUCCUUUGGUCAAAUAUGAUGCCUUCCCUAAAUCUCUCUACCCAAACCUGGAUUACCUGUCUCUCUUCUGGGUUUCUGUAACAUCCUGUGCACAUCUUGUAACAUCUUUUAGUACUGAGAAACCCUUUUCUGGAGAGUCAGAGAAUCUCAGGGUAAGAAGAGAAAUCCAUGUUACGUUCUUCAACACACUAAACAAGCCUCUCUGCACAUUUCCUCCUAAGUCAAAUUUAAAUCUCUGUGAUUGCACACCUCUAUAAAAGAGAAAUUCACUACCUGCAGAGAAAGAUCUUCCAUCUUUAGGAAGAUCUAUUAAGAUUUUCUUCUCUUAAAUUUCGCCAAAAUUUGCCUCUCUACCUUAAUUUUUUAAUUAUUAGCAUGUACGUAUGCCAAGAUAACAUGGACUUUUAAAAAAUUACCUUUUGGGGAACCUUUUGAUUGAGAGCUCCUCUGAACAUCAACUCCUAAUUUAUUGCCUUUAGAAGGAGCUUGCAACCAUUGAAAUGUGACAUUUAAAAAGAACAAGGGUUAUCUUAAUUAAAAAUAAAUAAAUUUUUUUAAAGUUAAAAGAAAAAAUCUUUAAAGAUCAAAACAUAAAUAAAAUAAAAAGAGUAAGGGCUCUCAAUUCUCUAAGAUAUAUAUAUACUACCUAUUAGGAUAGUCAUUAAAUGGCCUGAUUUAGGUAUAAAUAAACCAAGUAUCAAAUGCCACUGGUCUUACCUAUGAAUUUUGCAUGGGCAUUAGAUGUUAAACACCUGUUCUCAUUCCCUCUGUCCCAGACGCACUGACUUCCUUGCUCUUCUCUAAACAGGCCAGGCACACCCCAGCCUGAAGGUCUCUGCAUUUGCUAUUAUUGCCUCCCUUACCCCAGAUAACAAUGUGGCUGGCUCCCUCACUACCUUCAGAUUUCUGCUCAAGUCACCUUAUCAGUGAAGCAUUCCCUGAUCAUCUCAAAAAUGACAAACAAACCCUCACUCCCAGCCCUCCUGCCCCCUUAUCCUGCUGUUUUUCUCAAUUGCAUUUAUCUCCACACAUUCCCUUAUGUGACAGAACAUAAAUGUCCUUUUUAUUUGUCUCUACUGGAAUCCCAGAGAGCAGGGAUUUUGACUGUUUAAUACACUGCUGUAUCUCCAACAUAAAGAACAGUAUCUGGGACCUAACAAACACUCAAUUAAAUACCUGUUGAAUGAAUAAAUGACCUAGAGAAAUCAUUCUAGAUUUUUUAUGGCCUUGGUUUCUGUUUAAUGAGAAGCUACCAGUGCUCUGACCCAAUCAAAAUGGAAGAAGGGAACUGGGGUUAAGAAAGGUUUUCUUGCACAAGGGACCUUUGAGUGGAGAUCCCAAGUAUAUGUGCUAACUAGUGUUGAGGGCAGGAAAGUGCAGUAAGUAACUUCCCAAGUGUUCUCUCUAAUCCUCAUGAAAACCCAGGAAAUAAAAACUUUUUCUCCAUUCCACAGAUGAAAAACUGAGGCUUUGCAGUUAUGUAACUCGCACAGAGUAAGUGGGUUAAGUUGCAGAACUGAGUAACAUUCAGCUUUCUCAAACUCCAGUGACAAGUAUUUCUUCUACUCUCCUGCAUAUCACAAUUCUGACAGCAUCCAGGCUGAUCUUAAAGACACCCACUGCAGGGGUCACUGAGCAUCAGCUUUGGCCCAGGUACAUUCACUUGGGUGUGCUCAUCCAAGCCUAACAGUAAUGCUAGAAGAUAGGAGCUGGUAUUCAUUUUAGAAAUGAAGAAACUCAGGCUUACAUAAAGCUUAGCUGAUUUUUCUAUAAGUGCUGUCCCUCUGGGCAUUCCUUUAUCAUGUUCUUAUCACAGUAUUGUAUUUACUUCUGGUCUCACUCACUAAAUCCCAAACUACUUCAGGACAGAACAGUCUGAUCAUUUUGUACACCCCGCACAUGGGCCCGGCCUAUGGUGAGUGUCCCCAAAAUACCUGUAGGACUGAACUUAACUGCUUAAAAUACAUGGAUUUCUUGAAAAAUUUGCUAUCACAUCAUCCUUCCUUCCACGUGACCUCUUUAACUGUGAGAUUUGAGGAGGACCAAACAAUAUGUGCCAACUGUCCUCUCCACUUAGCGCUUUACCAUCUUCCAUUUCCUCCUGGCCUGGAGUUUCCCUCAAGCCAUCCCUUUGGCUUAAACAUAUACAUAGGGUCCAGUAACUCCAGAGGGUUGUUCUCUCUCACCAUGUUACCCCAUGCUGGAUGUAUCUGAUUGGCAUCUUGGAAGGUUAGAAGGCAGAAACGGGGUCCUGUGACACAACAGAAAGGGCAUGGCUGUGGCAUAGCCUGAGGUUGUCUAGUUAAGGAAGGGAGUAUAGAUGGACCCUGGGGAUUAAGUAGUUCAUUUUAAAAAGGUUGGUGGGGCGGGGGGGUUGGGGGUUGGAAAGCAGUAAUCAGAACAAAAGUGGAGGAAAAGUUUGCUUCAAUUUUCCUAGAAACCUAGUCAUCGAUAUGUUAUUUGAGAUGUAUCAGCUAAUCUUUGUGAACCUGACUUUUUUCUCUGAACCCUUUUGUGUCUUUUGUCAAUCAGCAGUUCAUUUUCCACUUCACUGCCUAAUUUAGCUGAAUUUCUUCCCCAAUGGAGACUUUUUGUUCUUUGAUCCUUCCAGCUUGUCUAUAUCUUAUGAUUAAAUUUUAAUAAAACAGACUUGGGGAUGCACCUGGAUAAUUAGAACUUAGGUCUCCAGAAAUCCUUAUCUAUGAUGAUGUGGACAUAAGUGAAAAGGAAUCAAAAGAAGAAGAUAAACUAAAAACUUGGAAGCCCAAAUUUUUGAUGCUAAGGGAAAAAAAAGAGAAAAAAGGUGAA